CUACUUAGGAUCCAUUACCCCGCGACAGGUCUUGUUUGGGUCACAUAAAUCGUUUAUUAAAAAAUAAAUAAAUAAUUAACGCGAGACGUAAAGGAAGCAGGCGAGAAAGAGAGCAAAACCCUCAAUUUCGAACCUGAUCAGAAGGUUCUUCUUCUUCUUCUUCUUCUUCUCCGCUCGAUCGAUUCCGGUUUCCCGAAUGCUUGAAGAAAUUCCUCUCCGAAUCCGAAUCUGAGUUGGUGUGAUUCGCUUGCGACUGAUGUUUGGGGGAAAAUGGAGUUUUCUCAUGGCGCCAUUGCAAAUUUCAUUUUCCGAUAGAGUUCUGUUUUGUUAUCCGAAGAUGAAGAAACCGGUGUUGAAAUCAAUAAUCUUUGAUCCAAGAGGCGUCCACUUGGGAAGGUUCUUUUGUUCGGACAGUAGAUCUCACUUGUAUGUGCUGUUUGUCCUAUUGGUGGAGAAAAGGGAUUUGGAUGCUAGUUUACCAGAUAGGGAGGGAAUUUUUACUGCCUGUAGGAUGACUGAUCAUUUUCUCUUUUGGACCUCAUGUUCUCUGAACUCUGAAGUAUGCUCAUUUGCUUGAGGUGUGAUUCUGGUGAAAUUAGAAAAUGUAAGACCUGAGAAUGAAUGAAGAAGAAAAUUAGCACACCAUGGAAGAUGAGGAAAGUUGAAGAAUCAAGACGAAGGAAACGCCUGCAAAAACAGGCUGACGGCCAGGAAAAUGGGAAUCUCGAAAUACAUUCACGAAAUCAGCAAAUCAGAGAUUCAGAGGUCAGCAAAGUGGCAGCUCUAUAGCUCAAAAGAGGAAAAUAAUCGUCCUAAAUGCCACAAAGUAAGGAUCCUCAAGUAUUGAUCUUGUUCUGGCAUAUAUACGAUUUCCACCCAAAGAAAUUGUUUGAAGGAGUGAACGUUGAAGAAGUUGAAUUCAUCAAUGAGAGGCUUAAAGACAAGUCAUAUUAGGCAAAGGAUGCUGGAGAUUCUGGCUAUGGAGCCAAAGCUCAAGGGGUUCUGUGACUAGUCAGGGGAAAGUAUUCCGACUGAGUAGAAGCGAUGAAGCUGCACGAUCUGCAUUCGCAUUCGAUAAAGGACCAACCCAGUUCGUAUCCCAUCUAGUGGGGUGCUGGGGAAGGGAAUAUAUUAGGCCGCCUUAUCCCCACAUUUUAUGUAGAGAGACAGCUUCGAACCCGUGACCUCAGAUCCCAUGGUAAAUGGUUUUACCGCAUUCGAUAUUCGGUAAAAAAGCUCAAUCACUCAUUACUAAAACGAGAAAUGCGAUAUAUUCGAUCA